rnacentral:rRNA from 1 species
CCCUUAGAUGUCCGGGGCCGCACGCGCGCUACACUGAAGGAAUCAGCGUGGCUUUCUCCCUGACCCGAAAGGGUUGGGAAACCCGUUGAAUCUCCUUCGUGAUAGGGAUUGGGGCUUGAAAUUGUUCCCCAUGAACGAGGAAUUCCCAGUAAGCGCGAGUCAUAAGCUCGCGUUGAUUACGUCCCUGCCCUUUGUACACACCGCCCGUCGCUACUACCGAUUGAACGGUUUAGUGAGGGCCUCGGAUUGGUCUCGGCCCGCUCUUUACCGGGCGGCGCCGUUGGUCGAGAAGACGCUCGAACUUGAUCGUUUAGAGGAAGGAAAAGUCGUAACA